rnacentral:rRNA from 1 species
GAUGAACGCUGGCGGCGUGCCUAAUACAUGCAAGUCGAGCGAACAGACGAGGAGCUUGCUCCUCUGACGUUAGCGGCGGACGGGUGAGUAACACGUGGAUAACCUACCUAUAAGACUGGGAUAACUUCGGGAAACCGGAGCUAAUACCGGAUAAUAUAUUGAACCGCAUGGUUCAAUAGUGAAAGACGGUUUUGCUGUCACUUAUAGAUGGAUCCGCGCCGCAUUAGCUAGUUGGUAAGGUAACGGCUUACCAAGGCGACGAUGCGUAGCCGACCUGAGAGGGUGAUCGGCCACACUGGAACUGAGACACGGUCCAGACUCCUACGGGAGGCAGCAGUAGGGAAUCUUCCGCAAUGGGCGAAAGCCUGACGGAGCAACGCCGCGUGAGUGAUGAAGGUCUUCGGAUCGUAUAACUCUGUUAUUAGGGAAGAACAAAUGUGUAAGUAACUAUGCACGUCUUGACGGUACCUAAUCAGAAAGCCACGGCUAACUACGUG